rnacentral:rRNA from 1 species
AGCAGCCGCGGUAAUUCCAGCUCCAAUAGCGUAUAUUAAAGUUGCUGCAGUUAAAAAGCUCGUAGUUGAAUUUCGGGACCAUCAUGUCGGUCGUGCCUCGGUACGUACUGGCAUUGUUGGUUUCUCCCUUCUGACGAACCAUGAUGUCAUUAAUUUGGUGUCAUGGGGAAUCAGGACUGUUACUUUGAAAAAUUAGAGUGUUUAAAGCAGGCUCACGUUUGAAUACAUUAGCAUGGAAUAAUGAAAUAGGACGUUUGAUUCUAUUUUGUUGGUUUCUAGGAUCGACGUAAUGAUUAAUAGGGAUAGUUGGGGGCAUUAGUAUUCAAUUGUCAGAGGUGAAAUUCUUGGAUUUAUUGAAGACUAACUACUGCGAAAGCAUUUGCCAAGGAUGUUUUCAUUAAUCAAGAACGAAAGUUAGGGGAUCGAAGACGAUCAGAUACCGUCGUAGUC